CCUACGGGAGGCAGCAGUGAGGAAUAUUGGUCAAUGGCCGUAAGGCUGAACCAGCCAAGUCGCGUGAAGGAAGAAGGAUCUAUGGUUUGUAAACUUCUUUUAUAGGGGAAUAAAGGUAUCCACGUGUGGAUAUUUGCAUGUACCCUAUGAAUAAGCAUCGGCUAACUCCGUGCCAGCAGCCGCGGUAAUACGGAGGAUGCGAGCGUUAUCCGGAUUUAUUGGGUUUAAAGGGUGCGUAGGUUGUUUUUUAAGUCAGCGGUGAAAGUUUGUGGCCAAACCAUAAAAUUGCCGUGGAAACUGGAAGAAGUGAGUGUGUUUGAGGUGGGGGGAAUGGGUGGUGUGGCGGUGAAAUGCAUAGAUAUCACGCAGAACUCCGAGUGCGAAGGAAGCUUACUA
rnacentral:rRNA from 1 species